AGGGAAUAUUGCGCAAUGGACGAAAGUCUGACGCAGCGACACCGUGUGAAGGAUGAAGGUCUUCGGAUCGUAAACUUCUGUCAAUUGGAGACGAAGGCAGUAGGGUUAAUAGCCUCAAUGCUGACGGUACCCAAAAAGGAAGUCUCGGCUAACUCCGUGCCAGCAGCCGCGGUAAGACGGAGGAGGCAAGCGUUGUCCGGAAUUAUUGGGCGUAAAGAGCGCGUAGGCGGUUUUCAAGUCAUAUGUGAAAACUUUAGGCUUAACCUAAAGAUUGCAUGUGAAACUGGAUAACUAGAGUACGGCAGAGGAAAGUGGAAUUCCUGGUGUAGCGGUGAAAUGCGCAGAUAUCAGGAAGAACACCAGUGGCGAAGGCGGCUUUCUAGGCCGUUACUGACGCUGAGGCGCGAAAGCUAGGGGAGCGAAC
rnacentral:rRNA from 1 species